rnacentral:rRNA from 1 species
AACCCCUACUCAUUAGUUGCCAUCAGGUCAAGCUGGGGACGUCUAAUGAAACUGCCUACGCAAGUAGUGAGGAAGGUGGGGAUGACGUCAAAUCAGCACGGCCCUUACGUCCAGGGCUACACACGUGCUACAAUGGCCGAUACAGAGGGCAGCUACCUGGUGACAGGAUGCAAAUCUCCAAAGUCGGUCUCAGUUCGGAUCGGAGUCUGCAACCCGACUCCGUGAAGUUGGAUUCGCUAGUAAUCGCGCAUCAGCCAUGGCGCGGUGAAUACGUUCCCGGGCCUU